rnacentral:lncRNA from 1 species
UGGGGCUGGAACAGAGGAAACCCUGCAGUUCUGACUUCACAAAGGAGCCAGGAUGGGGGACAGGAAAUACACUUAAGGCUUAAAAUUCCAUCAUACAGAAAUAGAAGCAACUUGGUUCAUCUCCUCUAGAUGAUCCUUGAUUUACAAUAGUUUGACUUACCAUUUUUUAACACAUGGUAGUGCUGAAGCAAUAAGCAUCCACUAAAACUCCUACUUCGAAUUUUAAAUUUGGAUCUUUUCCUGGGCUUCCAGGAAUACCUCUUUCUCACCAUGCCAGAGGUGGUAGUGAGCUGCAACUCUCAGCAACAUAAUCUUAAGCGGAAGCAAUGGAUACUCUACAGCAGGCAAGCUCAACACCCUGCCACGUGGCCCGAGUAAUGCAGCCCAGAGCAACAUAAACUUUUAAUCUGAUGUGAUUUUUUUCAUGACUGGAUUGCUUGGUGCGCGAGUGCAAUCCAGGAAGGCACCAUGGUUCUUGUAUAGGGCAGGGCACAGCGCAGUGAUAACUGCCUCCUGUGCUCACCACACACGGUGGGUCCAGUGGAAGUCUGAGUGUAUCAGAGGUAACAUCUGCUUGUGCAACAUGCUGCGCAUGGCUGAGGAACGUAGACCUAAUGUGUGUGGCUGCGGGAAAAUUACUUCACUUGCCCUGGACAGAGGCUUGAUGUGUUUUAUACAUGUUUCAGAUUUCUCAGAGUAUCUCAAGUGUUCAAGCAUCUGAUGUAAAACUAACUUACUCCCCGGAAGAACCCCUGUUCAGAAUUUAUGGACUUGCCACCAUCUGCUGAGAAUUCUUUGGAGUAAAGAAUUUGUGAGUUUAGAUCUGUAUAGCAUUUCAGAUUCCCAAAUAUUCUCUGCAUUUAAUUCACCACCUGAUGCCUUUUAAAUCCACUUUAAUUGUUGAAAUGGAAUUUUUGUACUUUCUGCCCUUGAAUGAUUAUGUGUUCAUAUGUGUGCACAUGUUGGACAUUUAAAAAUUUUUAUUCCAGACAAAUGUGUUGAGGGUCACAUUACACUAUUGUUUUCGAAAAUUAAAAUGCUGAUGAUUUUUUUUCCUGAUUGGAGGCUUUGACCAGCAAUAAUAAGGUUGAUUUAACAUUGAAAAGGGUAUUAAAGAAGCCACAGGUGGUUUAGCAGUGCUGAAGAGGGACCAGGCUAAUCAUGUUGGUUAUUUAGGGAUAUGUGUCUAUAGUGUUCUAUAAAAAAAAACCAAAAAACACCAUUUUGUGGAAAAUCCGGUUUAAACAAGUAUAAGCAAGUUCUCUGGAAUCUUCAUUGGAAACUUUAAUCUCUGAGAGGUGGUUAACUUAGAACAAACUAUUACCUAAGUAUUUCAGUCAGGAACCAAUCUGAGGCAACUCAAAUAGUUCCCAAAGAUCACAGAAAUCAGUUGAGGGGAUGGGGAGCCAGUGGCAAUGGAGGCCAACCCUGGGCACCUCCAUCAGUGACCAUGUCCCAAGUGCAUCUUAAUCACCAUGCUACAUUAAAAAUCCAAGAGAGAGAAGAAGGCACAAGGAAUUUCUAUGUCAGAGGAAGGAAACAUAAAAACAUCAUGGUUUCCUUACAUAUAUUAUUGGUUUAAUUAGUCCUACUAUUAAAUGCCAC